GGGGAAUCUUCCGCAAUGGGCGAAAGCCUGACGGAGCAACGCCGCGUGAGUGAAGACGGCCUUCGGGUUGUAAAGCUCUGUUAUACGGGACGAAUAGUCUUGUGGUUAAUACCCAUGAGAAGUGACGGUACCGUAAGAGAAAGCCACGGCUAACUACGUGCCAGCAGCCGCGGUAAUACGUAGGUGGCAAGCGUUGUCCGGAGUUAUUGGGCGUAAAGGGCGCGCAGGCGGCUUCUUAAGUCUGUCUUAAAAGUGCGGGGCUUAACCCCGUGAUGGGAUGGAAACUGGGAAGCUCAGAGUAUCGGAGAGGAAAGCGGAAUUCCUAGUGUAGCGGUGAAAUGCGUAGAUAUUAGGAGGAACACCAGUGGCGAAAGCGGCUUUCUGGACGAAAACUGACGCUGAGGCGCGAAAGCCAGGGGAGCGAACGGGAUUAGAUACCCCGGUAGUCCUGGCCGUAAACGAUGGGUACUAGGUGUAGGAGGUAUCGACCCCUUCUGUGCCGGAGUUAACGCAAUAAGUACCCCGCCUGGGGAGUACGGCCGCAAGGUUG
rnacentral:rRNA from 1 species